rnacentral:rRNA from 1 species
UUACCGAGUUUACAACUCCCAAACCCCUGUGAACAUACCUUAAUGUUGCCUCGGCGGAUCAGCCCGCGCCCUGUAAAACGGGACGGCCCGCCAGAGGACCCAAACUCUAAUGUUUCUUAUUGUAACUUCUGAGUAAAACAAACAAAUAAAUCAAAACUUUCAACAACGGAUCUCUUGGUUCUGGCAUCGAUGAAGAACGCAGCAAAAUGCGAUAAGUAAUGUGAAUUGCAGAAUUCAGUGAAUCAUCGAAUCUUUGAACGCACAUUGCGCCCGCUGGUAUUCCGGCGGGCAUGCCUGUUCGAGCGUCAUUUCAACCCUCAAGCCCCCGGGUUUGGUGUUGGGGAUCGGCUCUGCCUCACGGCGGUGCCGCCCCCGAAAUACAUUGGCGGUCUCGCUGCAGCCUCCAUUGCGUAGUAGCUAACACCUCGCAACUGGAACGCGGCGCGGCCAUGCCGUAAAACCCCAACUUCUGAAUGUUGACCUCGGAUCAGGUAGGAAUACCCGCUGAACUUAAGCAUAUCAAUAAGCGGAGGAAAAGAAACCAACAGGGAUUGCCCUAGUAACGGCGAGUGAAGCGGCAACAGCUCAAAUUUGAAAUCUGGCUUUCGGGCCCGAGUUGUAAUUUGUAGAGGAUACUUUUGAUGCGGUGCCUUCCGAGUUCCCUGGAACGGGACGCCAUAGAGGGUGAGAGCCCCGUCUGGUUGGAUGCCAAAUCUCUGUAAAGUUCCUUCGACGAGUCGAGUAGUUUGGGAAUGCUGCUCUAAAUGGGAGGUAUAUGUCUUCUAAAGCUAAAUAUUGGCCAGAGACCGAUAGCGCACAAGUAGAGUGAUCGAAAGAUGAAAAGCACUUUGAAAAGAGAGUUAAAAAGUACGUGAAAUUGUUGAAAGGGAAGCGUUUAUGACCAGACUUGGACUUGGUUAAUCAUCUGGGGUUCUCCCCAGUGCACUUUUCCAGUUCAGGCCAGCAUCAGUUUUCGCCGGGGGAUAAAGGCUUCGGGAAUGUAGCUCUCUUCGGGGAGUGUUAUAGCCCGUUGUGUAAUACCCUGGCGGAGACUGAGGUUCGCGC